CCAGUGCUGCACAUACUCCACCUCCUCGUGGGGAUUAGCUUGCAGUGCUGGGAGCCGCACUCCCAGCGCUGCAGCACUGUUUACGCUGGCGCUUUACAGCGCUGUAUCUUGCAGCGCUCAGGGGGGUGUUUUUUUUCACACUCCUGAGUGAGAAAGUUGCAGCGCUGUAAAGCACCAGUGUAGCCGAGGCUGGACUGUCAACUUGCUGGAUAUCUCACCGCUGACCCCCUGCAUUUUGAGGACACCCUCCACCAAUGUCAACCAAGGUGCAAACCAAGAGGGAGGAGACUGAAUGAAUUCUAUGAUAUCGUUGACUUGAUGAAUUAAGGGCUAGUCUACACAAAUUGCUACAGUGGCUGUAGCACUGCAUUGCUGUAGCACUGCUAGUCCGAACACUUGAUGCCAAUGGGAGAGAACUCUCCCGUCGGCAUAAUUAUUCCACCUCCGUAAACGUCAGUAGCUAUAUCGGCAGGAGAGCGUCUCCCCCUGACAUAGCGCUGUCCACACGGGCGCUUAGGUCAGUGUAACUUGCCUCACUCGGGGGUGGCUUUUCCACACCUCUGAGCGACUUAACUUAUGUCAAAAUAAGCACUAGUGUGUACAAGCCAUAAGAGAGAAGCGCAGUCCUGGAAACUCAGGAAAUGGCCAGUUCACAACCAGAGGAACCAUCUGAAUCACAGGAAGAUAUCUGACCUGGGGUAGAGAUCACUUGCACUCACAGCUUGUGGCAACUAAGGACAAAGAAAGAGAUGAAAAAGACAGAGGAGUGGAAGGAAGAGCAUGACAGAGAGAAGGAAAAAGACAGGAAAAUGGCAUGGUUCUCACAAACACAGCUGCUGGGGAUACAAAGGGGCAAAGCUUCCAGGAAAACAUGCUAGCUCUCUGGUCAAGGACUGCUUCACAGCCUGUGUGUCCCCAGCUACAAUGCUCAGAAACAGGUCCUGCUCCAGGCAUUCUGUGCCAUGGGACAACAAAGAAAAUGGUAGACAGUGGGCGAUACCCGCAAGGGAGAGACCCUCCAACAUCAAAGAUGCAGACAACAGGGUUGAGUUGUCUACAUGUGCACAUUUGUGACCUUAAAAGCAGAAACUUGUCUGUAUGCUAUUCUUGACUGUGGUAUAUUUUUUUCAUUUACUAUUUGCAUAUUGGUAUGUAUGUUAAUAUUUUUUACUGAUCUAAACAUUUACAUUGGUAUAUUGUUUAUUAAAAAUACUUUCAAAAUGUUUUUGUAGUCUGGGCUGGGCAUCUAGAACAACUAAUGAAAAUGCCCACCUCCACUUCACCUUUGCAUACACUAGAGUAAGAUCCAUACAUACACUAUGUUAAAACCCCCACAAAGCAUAGUAGAAUCCCCUCUUAUAGCAUGACGGAAGCUUUGCAGCAUGGCACGUACAUGCUAAUAUGUGUGUAGUAAUCCUGAUUUAAGCCUUAAACAAAAGCAUACACAUUUCUCACAAGUGAUCUCUAGCCUCAAAGUAGGAGCACAGUGCAUGCCUGACUGUGUGCCCCUGUAGCAUGUCAUCUUCUCUGGUUGUUCAAAACAUUCAGCAAGUCUCCCAACCAUAAGAAUGUAAGAACAUAAGAAUGGCCGUACUGGGUCAGACCAAAGGUGCAUCCUGCCCAGUAUCCUGUCUACUGACAGUGGCCAAUGCCAGGUACCCCAGAGGGAGUGAACCUAACAGGUAAUGAUCAAGUGAUCUCUCUUCUGCCAUCCAUCACCACCCUCUGACAGACAGAGGCUAGGGACACCAUUCCUUACCCCAUGAAUUUAUCCAGUUCUCUUUUAAACCCUGUUAUAGUCCUAGCCUUCACAACCUCCUCAGGUUCCAUAAAUUAACUGUGCGCUGUGUGAAGAACUUCCUUUUAUUUUUUUUAAGCCUGCUGCCCAUUAAUUUCAUUUGGUGGCCUCUGUUCUUAUAGUAUGGGAAUAAGUAAAUAACUUUUCCUUAUUCGCUUUUUCCACAUCACUCAUGAUUUUAUAUACCUCUGUCAUAUCCCCCCUUAGUCUCCUCUUUUCCAAGCUUGAAAGUCCUAGCCUCUGUAAUCUCUCCUCAAAUGGGACUCGUUCCAAACCGCUAAUCAUUUUAGUUGCCCUUCUCUGAACCUUUUCUAAUGCCUGUAUGUCUUUUUUGAGAUGAGGGGACCACAUCUGUAUGCAGUAUUCAAGAUGUGGGCAUACCAUGGAUUUAUAUAAGGGCAAUAAGAUAUUCUCCGUCUUACGCUCUGUUCCCUUUUUAGUGAUUCCUAACAUCCUGUUUGCUUUUUUGCUGCCACUGUACACUGCGUGGACUGAUUGUGCCCCUGUAGCAUGUCAUCUUCAGAGAACUAUCCACGAUGACUCCAAGAUCUUUUUCCUGAUUAGUUGUAGCUAAAUUAGCCCCCAUCAUAUUGUAUGUAUAGUUGGGGUUAUUUUUCCCAGUGUGCAUUACUUUACAUUUAUCCACUUUUAAAUUUCAUUUACCAUUUUUUUGCCCAAUCACUUAGUUUUAUAAGAUCUUUUUUAAGUUCUUCACCGUCUGCUUUGGUCUUAACUAUCUUGAGCAGUUUAGUAUCAUCUGCAAACUUUGCAACCUCGCUUUUUAUCCCUUUCUCCAGAUCAUUUAUGAAUAAGUUAAAUAGGGUUGGUCCUAGGACUGACCCUUGGGGAGCACCACUACUUACCCCUCUCCAUUCUGAAAAUUUACUAUUUAUUCCUAUCCUUUGCUCCCUGUCUUUUAACCAGUUCUUAGUCCAUGAAAGGAUCUUCCCGCUUAUCCCAUGACAACUUAAUUUACGUAAGAGCCUUUGGUGAGGGACCUUGUCAAAGGCUUUCUGAAAAUCUAAAUACACUAUGUCCACUGGAUCCCCCUUGUCCACAUGUUUGUUGACCCCUUCAAAGAACUCUAAUAGAUUAGUAAGACACGAUUUCCCAGAAACCAUGUUGACUUUUGCCCAACAAUUUAUGUUCUUCUAUGUGUCUGACAAUUUUAUUCUUUACGAGUGUUUCAACUAAUUUGCCUGGUACUGAUGUUAGACUUACCUGUCUGUAGUUGCUGGGAUCACCUCUAGAGCCUUUUUAAAUAUUGGCAUUACAGUAGCUAUCCUCCAGCCAUCUACAAGGCUAUCCACCUUCCUCUCACAAAAGUUGUGUAAAACACAGCAAACAGCUAUCAUAAGAGGGAGAUUUCUCAUCAGCCUUGACAUCAGGCUCCUUCGUCUACCUUUCAGUUUCCCAAAUGUACUUUCCACUGUUAUUCUGCAGUUACUCAUGAUGUAUCUUUCUCCCAUCCAGUUGCCCAACAGAAGGCUUUGUAAGUCAGGGAAGAAUGGCUGAGGAAUGGCACUGCCAUAGUCCACAAAGACUAUUGAAGCAAAAGUUCUUUUUUUUUUUUUUUUUUUUUUUUUUUUUCAUUACAGGAAAUUCUCAGGUUUGUAACGCUCCUGGCACCAUGGACAUUUCCAGACCACCUCACAUUAAUGUUGGUGAACUGUCCAUGCUGAUCAACCAGGCCUUGCAGCCCCAGGAUGAAAUAACUUUGAACUCCACGGCCUGGUGCUGGAGGGUGAAGGUGCAAGGAACGGGCAUCUGGAUCCCAUCAAUGGCCCCAAUACAAUUUGUGAACUCCAAUUGUGCAAAACCAUUCACCUCCCAUGCAUUGCCUAGCCUUAGGAAUUGGGGGCAAAGCACUUUCUUGAUAGCUGCACGCACGUCCAUGCCAACAGUCCCAGUGGUUAAUCUUACCAAGACCAAACUAGUUAGUUACUGAUCAGUAGUAGCUGGGGAUUGCUAGCUUCCAGAUGGUACUAGCUGUACACUUCUCCACACUGAAGGCAACUCUCACAUAGGUGUCCUGCCACUGCAGCCCUGGCCCGAACUCUGCACAAGUUUGUACAGAAGUGGCUUUUGACAUCCUGAAAUUCUGCCAGCACCUCUGAUCAUCCAGGUCUACAGCAUUAUUCUGUCCCACUAGUCAGAGCUAGUUGUCCAAGUCCAAAAGUGGCACUCUCAGUGAAGGCACUUCUGUAAAAUAUCUAGGAGAUGUUUCCUGUAUGUCAACCAUCGUCUUUCAGGUGACCUGCUUCUUUCGUCACUGCAUGACUGUUGACAUGCUUGCUGCAGCUUGUUUAUAGUCAUCAUCCCAAGGAUUGCAGUGUGCGCCAAUGUUUCUUCCAUGCUUCCUUGACAGCACUUUGAAAACGGCACUGGCUUGCAAAACCCAGAUGGAUGAUGGGGUGAAAAGAGAGAUCAUGGGAAUGUAGUUUGACGUCUCCCCCUCUCCCCAAACUCCAGAAUUCCAUUGCCUUCCAGUAGGUAUCCUACAAUUUGCGGAGUGGGAAAUGCCAAAAUGCAUCACCACAGUAGUGGAGCAGUGCACCAUGGGAUGUCUGAUGAGAAUGCUGAGCACUUGUUUCAAACCAUAACUGUUGUGUGGCAGCAAUGAUACGAGGCAAAAAGAUACCUUAAUCUCAGGAUAAUAAUGCCUAUACACUACUCACACAAUGCUUGUUGCAAAUCGCUUAAUGAAGAUACACAAAAACCCUGAUACUUGCUGUGUCUUCUUACAGCGAUAUUGUGAGACGAAUAGCUUAUAUUGUGCAGCAUGAAGCACAUAAAACACAUUUUCAUUUCCUUCUAUUGAGUCCAGUGUGUUAGACUAGAUCCUUCAGGUUUAAAAUACAAUUAAUGAUUAAGAAACUUGGGGUUUCUUCUGUGAUAUCUUUGUCCCAAGAUGUUCAGAGGCUUUAAAUAUUGUGGACAAACUUCAUUAUACAUAGCUGUGGAGACUUGAUUUAAAUUCUUAUGUAUUUUCUUAGAUAGUGUUAUCCUUAAGGUAGGGACCGUUCCAAAGCACCUGGCACAUAGCAGUGCUACCAUAAACAGUAGAUGUGUAAAGCACUAUAAAAGUGUUAAGUUGCUGAUCCUCUACAAGACACAUGUGGCAUGUUUCACAUAUGGUAGAGAAGAAUUCAGGGUGAAACAUUUUCCUCUUCACAACUCAUGUUUAAAUUGAUCCUGUAGUGUAGUUGAAGGCAACUGAUGGUGAAGUCACAAAAUCAGGACUAAACCAGCAGAUCAGAAGGGCAGUGAAAUGAGGAAGAGAUCACUCAAAUACAAACAGUCCAGUUGUAAAGGAAAUACAGAAGCUGAACUGGCACCAUAAACUGCUUUGUCAGUCAGAUUUUUUUUUUUUAUCUUAAAAGUGCCUGGAACAUCUAGAGCAAACAAUUAUCUGACUGGUUUUAGCUUCUUAGAGAGUGAACCAGUUAUCACAUGCACCCUUCCUGGGAGAUGAGGAAAGAGAGAAUUCCUGAGACGUGUUAAAGGGAUACUGACCAUUUUCACAUUUAAAAAACAAAACUAAAACCCAGCUGUGCCCCUCCCCCACCCCACGCCAACCUGGAAUUUCAAAACCAAAUAUACUUUUCCUAGAUCACAUUUUGACUUUCACUGCGUCUGGACAUGAAACUAGGCUGUCUGCUUUUAAUGUGCUAGCAUGCUCAAAUGCAGUUGUAUUUGAGCUUCCAGUGUGUGCAGGAGAAUCCGUUUUGUGCGUCAUAUCUUUGCUCUUCUCAAUCCUCCUCAAAACUAGCUACUACUGCUUGGAUUUCCAUGGUGAACAUCUAUUUAAAAAUACCAACACUUGCAUGAUUCUCUUGCUAGGGGUAAUAAUACCAGCUUCUUUUUCUCUAAGUUAGAUGGUAAAUUUUCUGAGGGCGGAGAUGGUCUUUUUUUUUUUUAAUAUGUGCAAAGUUGUGAUGCUACAUCAUGUUUAAUAAAAGCAUAUGAAAACUAAA